GCUUAACACAUGCAAGUCGAACGAAGAGCGAUGGAAGCUUGCUUCUAUUCAAUCUUAGUGGCGAACGGGUGAGUAACGCGUAAUCAACCUGCCCUUCAGACGGGGGACAACAGUUGGAAACGACUGCUAAUACCGCAUACGAUCUAAUCUCGGCAUCGAGGAUAGAUGAAAGGUGGCCUCUACAUGUAAGCUAUCACGUGGAGGAGGGGAUUGCGUCUGAUUAGCUAGUUGGAGGGGUAACGGCCCACCAAGGCGAUGAUCAGUAGCCGGUCUGAGAGGAUGAACGGCCACAUUGGGACUGAGACACGGCCCAGACUCCUACGGGAGGCAGCAGUGGGGAAUCUUCCGCAAUGGACGAAAGUCUGACGGAGCAACGCCGCGUGAGUGAUGACGGCCUUCGGGUUGUAAAGCUCUGUUAAUCGGGACGAAAGGCCUUCUUGCGAAUAGUGAGAAGGAUUGACGGUACCGGAAUAGAAAGCCACGGCUAACUAC
rnacentral:rRNA from 1 species